GACAUAGUGGCAGACGGGUGAGUAACGCGUGGGAACGUACCUUUCGCUACGGAAUAGCUCUUGGAAACGAGUGGUAAUACCGUAUACGCCCUCCGGGGGAAAGAUUUAUCGGCGAAAGAUCGGCCCGCGUUAGAUUAGGUAGUUGGUGGGGUAAUGGCCUACCAAGCCUACGAUCUAUAGCUGGUCUGAGAGGAUGAUCAGCCACACUGGGACUGAGACACGGCCCAGACUCCUACGGGAGGCAGCAGUGGGGAAUCUUGCACAAUGGGCGAAAGCCUGAUGCAGCCAUGCCGCGUGAAUGAUGAAGGCCUUAGGGUUGUAAAAUUCUUUCGCCAGGGAUGAUAAUGACAGUACCUGGUAAAGAAGCCCCGGCUAACUUCGUGCCAGCAGCCGCGGUAAUACGAAGGGGGCUAGCGUUGUUCGGAAUUACUGGGCGUAAAGCGCACGUAGGCGGACUUUUAAGUCAGAUGUGAAAUCCCGGGGCUCAACCUCGGAACUGCAUUUGAAACUGGAAGUCUGGAGUUCAGGAGAGGUUAGCGGAAUACCGAGUGUAGAGGUGAAAUUCGUAGAUAUUCGGUGGAACACCAGUGGCGAAGGCGGCUAACUGGACUGAUACUGACGCUGAGGUGCGAAAGUGUGGGGAGCAAACAGGAUUAGAUACCCUGGUAGUCCACACCGUAAACGAUGACAGCUAGUUGUUGGCAGGCAUGCCUGUCGGUGACGCAGCUAACGCAUUAAGCUGUCCGCCUGGGGAGUACGGCCGCAAGGUUAAAACUCAAAGAAAUUGACGGGGGCCCGCA
rnacentral:rRNA from 1 species